GGGGCUCAUCUCCAGGCCCCUCUCCCUUCCCUGCACCCAGUGGGAGAGAGGGCUCUCGGCAACAGUGAGUGCUGGCAGGAGGGACUGCUGCAGCCAACUGGGGGGCUCUGUGACAUGCCCAAGUCCUUGUGCUCUCUCCAGCUAGGGAAGGACGGGAGUAGGGCUGAAGAGUGCCUGUGUCAGGGCCUGAUGUACCUCGAGGAUCCUGAGGCCACUCUGCAAGAGGUGGCCACUAGGUUCAUUGGGGUGGCCACGCAGCACCUGAGGGACCAAAGCAUGCCUAUGUGGAUGAGAUCUGCAGCACCCUUGCAGGCAGACAGCAAUGAAAUCGUCUCUUGCCUGGUAACUCAGACCGUCUUGAUCCUGAGGGCUUUAAAUCUACAGCAAAAACCAAGAUUCAAUAUAUGUACACUGUUCUUCUGGCGUCUCUGAGCCAGCUGGAGGACGGCUGUGAUUUAAUAAAUCUGAAACAAUAGGCUCAAAUCCAUGGUGUCCUUCAGAUGCGCAGCAUCCUGAGCAGACUGCAUCCUGUUUGGCCUGUACCACUGCCUGCAGGACAACUUCCCCUCAGCACACCACAGCCCCAGAUUGGUUUGAGAAGUUGACCCCUUGCUGAGGCUUUUCCCAGGAGAAACCUCAUUUGUCUCUCCUCAGGGCAGUCCCUCCACCACACAGCGAGGACAGGGCACAGAAAGAGUGGCCCCAGCUCUGCGUCCCUGUGAGUGUCCAGGCACUCAACAAGGCAUUUGCUGUUGCUGCAUCACCACCUCCCCUCACCGUAAUGGUUUUGGAAGGGUUUCCAAGCAGCUUACUGUGGUAUUAUGGGGACCAGAGGGAAACCUCAGGGGCCCUAGAGAAACUGGAGGACAAACAGGGAGUCUUGGUCACCACCACCACAUCAGAGGAUGGGCCUCUGCCACCAUGUUGCUGCUGACAGGGGCAGCUGUCCCAACCCACCGGUCAAGGGCAUGAUGUUCAUUAUAAAUCCCUGUCAGGCUGAGCAAAGACACUGGACACGUGUUUGGGAACUUAUUGUACAGUCCCCAUAACUCUGGCAACCAGUCCACUGUUUAGACUGAAAAGGUGUUGGCCAACAAGCCCUUAAAUUCUUACAGCACACUUCCACAAGAGUGAUGGCUAACAAGCCCUUAAUUUCAUACAGUACACAGCAAUAAGUUCGCAAUUCCCAAAACAAACUCUUCAAAAGUGCUGGCACACAGGCUACUACAUCACUACUCAAAGAUGCUGGCUGACAAACCACAACACACUAGUAUUCAGUCGUUCCCCCCAGAGAGGGAAAGCUUUUUACCACCUCAGUUGUAAUAUCUGGAACAUGCAGAGCUUGGGUGCAUAUUAAUGGGAAGUACUAGACCUGAAUUGCAAUUAUUUUUUAAAUCAGACUUGAAGAUCACUUACAGAAAGUGUAAUAGUUCAGUAAACUACUGUGAGAUUAAAAAAAAAUAAAAAAAUCUCAGAGACUGGAAGAUUUCUGUAACUGAAUAAGCUUAGGAAAACAAGAAACGUUGCCCCUCAUCCAUGCCUUUAUUGUUUUAACAGUGUGCCUAAUAAUAAAGUU